CCUACGGGAGGCAGCAGUGGGGAAUUUUGGACAAUGGGCGCAAGCCUGAUCCAGCCAUGCCGCGUGAGUGAAGAAGGCUUCGGGUUGUAAAGCUCUUUCAGCCGGGAAGAAAAGGUUGCGAUUAAUAAUCGCAAUUUAUGACG
rnacentral:rRNA from 1 species